rnacentral:ncRNA from 1 species
UCAGAGGUGCACCGGACAAGAGUAACAGGGGGAGAAGCAAAACCUUCCGUGAAGCCUGGGAAAGGGAACGGUGCCGAAAGACGGUGAUGGUUUUGCGCUUCGUACUUGGCUUUUCCAUGAACAGUGGAACGGCUGUCAUCGGACAAACGUCUGGCGGAGCGCUG